AUUGAACGCUGGCGGCAGGCCUAACACAUGCAAGUCGAGCGGAUGAAGGGAGCUUGCUCCUGGAUUCAGCGGCGGACGGGUGAGUAAUGCCUAGGAAUCUGCCUGGUAGUGGGGGAUAACGUCCGGAAACGGGCGCUAAUACCGCAUACGUCCUGAGGGAGAAAGUGGGGGAUCUUCGGACCUCACGCUAUCAGAUGAGCCUAGGUCGGAUUAGCUAGUUGGUGGGGUAAAGGCCUACCAAGGCGACGAUCCGUAACUGGUCUGAGAGGAUGAUCUGUCACACUGGAACUGAGACACGGUCCAGACUCCUACGGGAGGCAGCAGUGGGGAAUAUUGGACAAAGGGCGAAAGCCUGAUCCAGCCAUGCCGCGUGUGUGAAGAAGGUCUUCGGAUUGUAAAGCACUUUAAGUUGGGAGGAAGGGCAGUAAGUUAAUACCUUGCUGUUUUGACGUUACCAACAGAAUAAGCACCGGCUAACUUCGUG
rnacentral:rRNA from 1 species